CUUUUGGCGGUAAAAUACACUAGGUCUGUAAAAUAUAAUGAGUGGGUAUUGUUAAGAUAGAGAUUAUUUUUAAGCUACGAGUGCUUACAGAAUUAAGAUUUGUGAUAGAGAUAUUGUUCCUUUGUUAGUUAUUUUUCCUAAUUUAGACAAUUUGAAACAAAAUUACACAAAAAGCUGUUAAGUAGGAAAUGGAAGUGGCUAUGUUGGUUUUAUUAAUGUAACAUCUUCUGGAAAAACCUGUCAGGCUUGGAGUUUGAAUCCCUAUCUCCAAAUUCACACUUAUUCAACCUUAACGGAAAACUUUUGCAGAAAUCAACAAGCUUUUAAUAAAUGGUGUUACACAGACAACCUUGGUGUUACACAGACAACCACAUGCAACAUUGGGAAUAUUGCGAUAUGCUUUAAUGACAGAAACAAAUUCGUGGAAGAGAAAACAUUUGGAUAGUUUUGAUAACAACUGCGUAAAUUAUCUUCGCGUUACUGGUGAUUUAUUUUGUGAAAAAGUUCUGCAAAAGUUUCCGAAAACAACGAGAAAGCAAAUAUACAGCUCCAUAUGCCUAGUGCGAUCUAAACGACAAGAAGCAAAUUUCAAUGCUACUAUCACUGCGCCAAAUUGACAUGCGUACGGAUGAUUGAGGAAUUGAAAAUUUAUGCAGAUAAAAGAUUGUUUAAUUUAGGCUUACACAUU